UUGAGUGCAGAAGAGGAGAGUGGAAUUCCAUGUGUAGCGGUGAAAUGCGUAGAUAUAUGGAGGAACACCAGUGGCGAAGGCGACUCUCUGGUCUGUAACUGACGCUGAGGCUCGAAAGCGUGGGUAGCAAACAGGAUUAGAUACCCUGGUAGUCCACGCCGUAAACGAUGAGUGCUAAGUGUUGGAGGGUUUCCGCCCUUCAGUGCUGCAGUUAACGCAUUAAGCACUCCGCCUGGGGAGUACGACCGCAAGGUUGAAACUUAAAGGAAUUGACGGGGACCCGCACAAGCGGUGGAGCAUGUGGUUUAAUUCGAAGCAACGCGAAGAACCUUACCAAGUCUUGACAUCCUUUGACCACUCUAGAGAUAGAGCUUUCCCUUCGGGGACAAAGUGACAGGUGGUGCAUGGUUGUCGUCAGCUCGUGUCGUGAGAUGUUGGGUUAAGUCCCGCAACGAGCGCAACCCUUAUUACUAGUUGCCAGCAUUCGGUUGGGCACUCUAGUGAGACUGCCGGUGACAAACCGGAGGAAGGUGGGGAUGACGUCAAAUCAUCAUGCCCCUUAUGACUUGGGCUACACACGUGCUACAAUGGAUGGUACAACGAGCAGCGAACUCGCGAGGGUAAGCGAAUCUCUUAAAGCCAUUCUCAGUUCGGAUUGUAGGCUGCAACUCGCCUACAUGAAGCCGGAAUCGCUAGUAAUCGCGGAUCAGCACGCCGCGGUGAAUACGUUCCCGGGUCUUGUACACACCGCCCGUCACACCACGAGAGUUUGUAACACCCAAAGUCGGUGAGGUAACCAUUUGGAGCCAGCCGUCUAAGGUGGGAUAGAUGAUUGGGGUGAAGUCGUAACAAGGUAGCCGUAUCGGAAGG
rnacentral:rRNA from 1 species